rnacentral:lncRNA from 1 species
AAGGUAUCUUUUGUCCUGGCCUUGAAAUUGGUCCUCUUUUUUAAAAAAUUGUUUCAUAAAUUUUCUUAGAUCAAUAUUUAAUUUACCUAAUAUGAUCAACAUAUCGCAGCAAGAAAUCCAAGAGUUGUCCAAAAAUGUUGGCCGUGGACAAUAUCCAAAUGGUAUUCUCCGGGUGCAAACAGAAAAAGAGCCAGUCGAUGAAGAAGCAUUAAAAGAAAUGCAAUCGCUACAUACGGUAGUGGCUACACUUAUUGCAACAGUUACCUUCGCUGCAGGGUUCACAUUACCGGGUGGUUACUGGGGUAAAGAAGGCCCAAUUCCCGGCACUCCAAUCCUCAUAAAAAAUGCAGGUUUCCGAGCAUUUGUUGUAUCUGAUGUCAUAGCCAUGGUCCUCUCCGUUUCAGCUAUCUUUAUUUAUUUCCUUACUCCAGCUAAGACCCUUCGGCAAACCAAGUUUCUUUCAGAUAUGCCCCAUAAUUUCAUCAUGGUUUCCUUGUUAGCAAUGGUGGUUGCAUUUAUUACAGGCACAUACGCAGUGUUGGCACCUUCUGCUGGGCUUUCCGUUGCUACUUGUGUCCUUGGCUCGAGCUUCAUUCUCUUUGCCUUUGCCAACACGUUCAUGCUAGCUCGUGGACUCUACCAAAGAAUGUUCGGCAAUAACUAAAAGUAUUUGUAUAUGUACCCCUUUUUCAUGAUAUAAUUAGAAUAAAUAUCUCUAUGUUGGAGAAAUUAGCAUGAUUCUGUGUAGUUGUCCUGGAAUGUUGAGCUAUUACUUACUUGUGUCCUUGGCUCGAGCUAUUUUAUACAUAUGUUGGAAAAAUAAAUCUCUAUACAUUACUUCAACUGGGAUUGUACUCAAUUGUGUUGAGCUAUUAUCAUCAAAAGAGGAUUACGUACAAAUACAAGGUCAACGGGAAAUUGAAAGUAGCAUAUUAGCAUUCCAACAUUUCUAACUAACAAAUUCUACCUACAACAGGGUCAUGUAGAGGUGCUUUUCAAGUGCUGAAGAAAACAUAGAGGUUAGUGCACAGCAGCUUCACAAAGAAAAUCACCCUUUAAACUGACUAAUGCAUGAAAUUCCCUUUCAACCUCUACCCACAACAUCUUUCUCAAAUCUUCAAGUUCUUGUCACCCAGGAAGACCGGAUUCUCAGCUAGCACAUAACGGUAAUUAGGCAUUUUCGUGCAAGUAAGACAUAUCGAUUGACACACAGUUGAAAAGAACCCCAUGCUUCAGCAUCUUGUGUACAAUCCCCUGAAAAAUCUUGCCAAUGAAAACAACAGGAAAGAGCAUCUCCCCUGCGUUCUCUCUAACUUUUCCCUCGCCAAAAAUUUUUCAAGUCCACAAUUUUUAUUACUGCUGUACGGCCAAGGCGGAUGUACGGUACAGCAGAAGAUCGAAAUAUGACAGCUCUUCAUUUAGCAGCCGCCAGAGGGCAUAUAGGGAUAGUAAAUGAAAUUAUUUCCUCUUGUCCAUAUCGUCUUCUAGUAAAGGUCGAUGACAGACGCUGGAAUUUUCUUCACUUUGCUAUGGUCAGUUUAGAUAUCUUCCAAUUGAGCCGUCUCCUAAUAAAACAUCCGAUCGUCAGAAGCAGCUGUUUGUUAAGUAAGGACGUAGAUGGAAACACUCCUCUCCACGUGGUUGCUGCUGUCUGUCGACUUUCACCCCGUGUGGCUGUCCUUCCGUUCCUUCUCAAAGUUGUAGGCGGUAAUGAUGCCGUCAACAAUCAUGGUAUUAGUGUUCAAGAUGUAAAAGGUCGUGGAUUUCCUGAGCUCGAGGUAAAUACUUUUUUACUGUUUACUCAUUGCUACCUGCUCCUCACGGCUACUAAUUGUUUAUGCGGGCGCAGCUAUUCCAAGUAAUGUUAAUCAAUUCAUACUUUGUUUUUAUUUUUCUUAAAUGGGAACAACUUUUUCAUCGCAUUGCACUGCAAUAUCGAACAUUUGUGAGUAAAAAUUAACAAUGUUGUUAUGAGUUUAACCCAAAAAAAAAAAAAAGUUUAAAAAGAGCAUGUUGUAUAUGGUCCUAUAUCACUAAUUCCUAGAGUCACACGCAUAAGCACGUCAUAACAUUAAUAUAGAGGAAAAUGCUAUUUGUACAAAUAUUUUAUACAUAUGUUUCUUUUGUUUUGUGCUUCUCACGAACUGCAUAUGGCAUAUCGGAUCAUACAGUUUUUUUUUUUUUUUUUGGUGGGUCACUUAACUCAUUUUAUAUUUACAAAGUCUAAAUUAGUUUAAUGUGACGAAUUGAUUUCAUCGGUCUUGAAUGUGCUACACACGAUAUAAUAUUAUCAUAAAUUAUUAUGUGUGCUAAAUGAUUACUUACAUUAUCAUCUUAAUUGUUUUAUAGUGAAUGGGGUGAGGUAUUCGUGUGUAUGCCACGUUAUUUGUAUCAAAUGUUAGUGAAGCAUACCACACCCCCUCUCCCUCUCUAUAUAUAUACAUACUGUAUUGUAUAUAACUAAAUCUUAUAAAAUAAAGGUAUCUUUUGUCCUGGCCUUGAAAUUGGUCCUCUUUUUUAAAAAAUUGUUUCAUAAAUUUUCUUAGAUCAAUAUUUAAUUUACCUAAUAUGAUCAACAUAUCGCAGCAAGAAAUCCAAGAGUUGUCCAAAAAUGUUGGCCGUGGACAAUAUCCAAAUGGUAUUCUCCGGGUGCAAACAGAAAAAGAGCCAGUCGAUGAAGAAGCAUUAAAAGAAAUGCAAUCGCUACAUACGGUAGUGGCUACACUUAUUGCAACAGUUACCUUCGCUGCAGGGUUCACAUUACCCGGUGGUUACUGGGGUAAAGAAGGCCCAAUUCCCGGCACUCCAAUCCUCAUAAAAAAUGCAGGUUUCCGAGCAUUUAUUGUAUCUGAUGUCAUAGCCAUGGUCCUCUCCGUUUCAGCUAUCUUUAUUUAUUUCCUUACUCCAGCUAAGACCCUUCGGCAAACCAAGUUUCUUUCAGAUAUGCCCCAUAAUUUCAUCAUGGUUUCCUUGUUAGCAAUGGUGGUUGCAUUUAUUACAGGCACAUACGCAGUGUUGGCAC